UCAUUUAACCCUCAGUCUCAGUUUGUCCACCUAUGAAAUGGAAAUAACAGUUUCUGCCUUGAAGAUGAUGUGAGGAAUUAAUGAGAUGCUGCCUGGAAGGAGUCUAGCACAUUACCUGGCAUGGGGACUGAAUUAUGCAGGAUAAGGAGGCUGCAAAAAUACUAUGGCAUUUUACAGAUGAGGAUACUGAAGCUUAAAGAGGUGUAACAAUUGCUGAUAUGAGGAUGAAUCAUAAUAUUACUUGUCGGGAAUCUAACUGAGUGAAGUAUGCCCAAGGAAUGUGAUGAUUAGCAUGGGGGAGGGGUGUUACUAUGUGAAAAACAUAUUCUCUCUCUUUUUUAUCAGCAUUGCUGGAAAAGUUGCUAGUUGGUUCACGGAGCUUUUACUUAAAAAUAAACAGCCGCCCAAGUUACGGGUUUUCACAGGAACAUAGUAAUAAUUCAUUAGACUUUAACAAUUUAAUCAAGAAGUCAGUGAUGGUGGGGGGCGUCUCUGUGUGAGGCAUAGGAAAAAUCUCUCUUAGGUUUGGUGCAAUUUUCUUGCUUUUAAUCUGGUGUUCAGGGUCUUUCCAAUCAUCUUUGCUUCACAGUUGGGAAUUUUUCCUUGGUGUUCUCAUAGAUUGUAGAAGCAAUGAUAAAACAGCUGUUGCCAGGCUGGGUGAGAAUCUAUCAUUUACCUCGCUACAAUAGGAGAAUGAGGUACAGACGUUGUUUAAUAAAGAAUUUAAUAGACGAGGUCAGCCUGUCCAGCCUGGAUGAACAUAGGCUGUAAUUGCUCAAUGGGGGACACAUGUUGUACCCCAAAGAGGAUUCUCUGACAUCUCUGGCUUUUCUGCCCAAGCCCUCUGAGAGGUGAGAAUAUAAUUGUGUCUGUGAGUAUAUACUGUUAUAUGUGUAUGGGUAAACACGGAGAGUGGCAGGUGGCAGAUUUGAAGGGUACGAAAUGUUUUAUUAACUUUUCCUUUGUCUUCCAAAUUUAAACAGUAUAGCGUAAGAAUAGUCCUGAGAGUUCAGUCUUUGACUUUUCCUGAACAAUUCAAUACUCACCUGCUGAUCCUCCUGCCAAUCAACAACUUAGAAGCAAAUGGAAAAAAUGUGAGGAUGAAUCAAACACCUUAUCCAUUAUAGAGUUUUCAUGACUGAGAACAAGAGAAAGUUCACUGAAGUGAUCUCUCUGGAGAGCAUCCAAAGACUUCUGCAGACAAUAAACUGAUCUGCGGAGGCCUGAUUCUACUCUUGGCCAGGCAUGUGAUGAAGGCUCCCUAGCCAUCCAAGUGUGGGGCUUGAUCCUUUCCAGUGAUUAGGCACUUGUUGCCCUUUGGUGGCCAAACAAAUAACAGUUAGUGUAAUAAGAGCUCUAACAGAAAGACUCUCAGAGGAUAGGAAAGUUUCAUUUUUGUAAAGUACUGUCACUUUUGUUUAUCUUUUCAAUGUAAAUUUAAUAUAUGCUUAGUAACAAAACAAGAAAACAUUGAAAAAAACUUAAAUAAAGUAUAAUUGAAUUGUAGUCCCAUUAUCCAAUGGUAAUUAUUAACAUACUGGCAAAUGUUUUUCCACAUUGUUUCUUAUGCAUGUGUAAACCACCUCCCACACAUAUACUUUAAUUUUUAAAUGAAAUCAUCAUAGUCAUAUUGUUUGAUAAUCUGUUACUUUCAAACAUUUAAUUUGUUCCCACUAUUUUUCUAUUUUAACAAACUCUAUGAUGAAUACCUAUACAAUCUUCUUUUUUUUACACAUUUGACAAAUUAUGUUAAGAAAUAGAAUUUCUAAGAAAAAAAUUGCUAUAGCCAAUGUGACCUGAAGAUAUGAAACCAAUUUAUAUUCCUGACAAUAGCACAUGAAAAUGGCUAUGUUGCUCUAAACCCUUGUCAGCAUUAAGUUUUGUGUUUUUUAAAAAAAAUCUGUAUGAAUUUGUUAUUAAAAAUAUUAUA